AUUAAAUUCCUUCUUUAUAUUAUAAUCCUUAUUUAUAUUAUAAUGUUUCAUUCAAUUUAAUUAUUUUUUUAAAUUAAUAAUUAUAUUAAUAACUUUUGUUAUAUUUCUACGUCUUUACAGUCAACAACAAUUAAUAUAUAUUGUAUGAUAUUUCAAUUUUCCGCGCAAUUUUAGAAUGAAUAAGAAAGUGUGAUGCACCAGCCAAUCAGAACGUCGCUUAAUUCGAAACGCGAGACGAAUCAGUGCGCAUCAUAGUGCGCAUCGUAAUGCGCAUGGCGUCAGUCUACAGUUGAAAAUCGUGACAAGAGGACGAAUCAUCGCAAAUUCGGAUUACAUAGUUUAAUUGGUAACAUCAUGAUAGAUCUUCGAAGGCGGGAAAAAUUCCAAUAUGGCCACUAUGUGUUUGUUGAUGACGUGGUAAAAUUUUACAUUUCUCUGUUUCAGGUAUCCUCUUCACCCUUCAACGAAAUGGAUUACAUCUCAUCAUCAUCAUCAGAUAAAUAUUCUAAUUUUUAUAUUAGGUAGGGUAGGUUGUGAAAAACAUGGGAUUUAUAAACUGUGUUUUGUUCUUCUUUUUAUUAAAAAAGGCAAUUUCGCCUUUCCUACUCUGUUUCGUUUUCCAAACCAAUAGUUUUCCUAUUUUUCAAGGCAAUAUGAUCAUCCUGCCAUCCUUAACUUCCUCGUUAUAAGCAAAAACUUGAUAUUUGAUAGCUACGUGACUUUGUCCACUGCUAUCAUUGAUAUAUCUUGAUUUGCAUUUUCCUCUUGCCACGUGGUUUAUGUCGUAUCAUAAAUUUUUUGAAAAUUGUGUAUCAUCAGUGUGAAUGAUUAAUGUAGACAUGAAGAGAAUUUGUUAGACUUUCAAUAAGCAAAGUUAAAAACAAAAUGUUGAAUUAAUUUAUAUCGGUAGAAAAUACGAAAAUAAUUUUUAGAAUAAGUAAAAUAUUAAUUAUUGUUAUUGUUUUAAAUUUAUUUCAGGAUUUUUUGCAGAAGCAUUUUCUGAAGAUUGUAUAAUUGAUUCAAGAAAACGUAUUUAGAAUUAAGUGCAUGCACAACUAAGGAUAUUAAAAAAAAAAAGUAGUGUAUUGUUAAAAAGUAGAUAAAAUGUAAAUAAAUAAAUGGGUUAAAAUGGUGUAGUGCUUUUUGGGGAGCUUAUUUUGCUUAUUUUGAUUAUUUUGCUUACUUUUGUUUAUUUUGCUUAUUUUGCUUAUUUUGCUUAUUUUUGUUUA